rnacentral:rRNA from 1 species
GGCCAGACUCCUACGGGAGGCAGCAGUGGGGGAUAUUGCACAAUGGGGGAAACCCUGAUGCAGCGAUGCCGCGUGAAUGAAGACGGCCUUCGGGUUGUAAAGUUCUGUCGCAGGGGACGAAAAUGACGGUACCUGAUUAAGAAGCCCCGGCUAACUACGUGCCAGCAGCCGCGGUAAUACGUAGGGGGCAAGCGUUAUCCGGAUUUACUGGGUGUAAAGGGAGCGUAGACGGCAGCACAAGUCUGGAGUGAAAUGCCGGGGCUUAACCCCGGAACUGCUUUGGAAACUGUGCAGCUAGAGUGCAGGAGAGGUAAGUGGAAUUCCUAGUGUAGCGGUGAAAUGCGUAGAUAUUAGGAGGAACACCAGUGGCGAAGGCGGCUUACUGGACUGUAACUGACGUUGAGGCUCGAAAGCGUGGGGAGCAAACAGGAUUAGAUACCCUGGUA